rnacentral:tRNA from 1 species
GGGGAUUUAGCUCAGCGGCAUAAGCGCCUGCCUUGCAAGCAGGCAGUUGUGAGUUCGGUCCCCA